rnacentral:rRNA from 1 species
GACGAACGCUGGCGGCGUGCUUAACACAUGCAAGUCGUACGGUAAGGCCCUUUCGGGGGUACACGAGUGGCGAACGGGUGAGUAACACGUGAGUAACCUGCCCACAACUUUGGGAUAACGCUAGGAAACUGGUGCUAAUACUGGAUAUGUGCUCCUGCUGCAUGGUGGGGGUUGGAAAGCUCCGGCGGUUGUGGAUGGACUCGCGGCCUAUCAGCUUGUUGGUGGGGUAGUGGCCUACCAAGGCGGCGACGGGUAGCCGGUCUGAGAGGGUGACCGGCCACAUUGGGACUGAGAUACGGCCCAGACGCCUACGGGAGGCAGCAGUGGGGAAUAUUGCACAAUGGGCGCAAGCCUGAUGCAGCAACGCCGCGUGCGGGAUGACGGCCUUCGGGUUGUAAACCGCUUUCAGCAGGGACGAAGCUUUUUGUGACGGUACCUGCAGAAGAAGCACCGGCUAACUACGUG